rnacentral:lncRNA from 1 species
UGAUAUGGUAUGGAAGUCCAGGUUGUACCCAUUCUACGUCCCUGGCACUAUGUAAGAGAAAGUCCAGGUUGUACCCAUUCUACGUCCCUGGCACAUUGGAAUGUUAUGAUAUGUUAUGUUAAGAGAAAGACCGAUUGUACCCAUUCUACGUCCCGGCACUUUGGAAUGUAGAGGACUAUUGGUGACAAUACCAUCCGAGAUGUGAUUUGUUGUGAUGUGUUGCAUUACAUGAUGGCAUGAG